UGCAAAUUUUGCAGCCAAAAGCAAAAAAGAGGCGUAUAUUAUUGUGACGUAAAGGCAGACAAGUUUGCUGCGGUAUGUGUAGAGCCAGAGCUGUGAAUCAGAUAUAGAAUUUUAAAAAGCCACACUUACAAGGAAACUCGAGCCUGAUACUCCUAAAGUGCAAUAUAGUCAUUGCGAGGCUUAAAUCUACCUGACGAUCAGAAGAAAAUAGCUGAAUGAUGAUGUGUCUGAAUGUAAACCAAAAAUAUCUUCUUUGCACUGAAAGCAACAUUUUCCAUUGACUUGAUUACGACUAUAGUGUGGACAUCAAAUCCAUUUUGAAGGAUCCCGGUUUUUUUAAACUGCU